UUCCAGCUCACUCUGGAAAGAACAAACCGUUUUUUAGGAAUCAGAUGUUAUCCCAUGUUGAUGAGAGGUAAUCAUUAGUCAUUAGCAUGUCUAUGAUCUGUGAAAGAAAUGCAAUAAGCUAAAAAUUCCCAGUUAGAGUCAACCUUAGCUCCUGAUCACCCUGCUUUGUAUUUACAGCAAACUGAGCCUGUAGACCCCAGAUACUAUGAAGAAUCUUUCCCACAGUAUCUUGGAUUCCAAGACUUGCUUAUUAAGGACAGUAAGAAGCACAGCAAAAAUGUCAUCUGUGACUUUAUAUGAUGAAUCCUGGCAGUUGCUACAACUCAUCACUUCUAGAAACAAUAAACUAAUCCCAAAUCUGGAUUUUUCAUUUUCCUUUUUAUAUUUUGUGCCUGAGUUUCUGCCAGAUUACACCCAUGUGACACUUGAGCCUUUAGUCACAUAGCUGUUAUUUUCGUGUGAAUUCUGAGCCCACAGCCACGCAACUGAAGGACAUUUUUCAAAAGAAUUUAGCUCCUACUUUCCACCUAGGAUAUGUGAAAAACUUUAAAAACUUUUAGUCCCCUAUUUAAAAAAAAUGCAGCCUCAAGUUCCUGGCCUUAUCUGGUGGAUAUUGAACACUUUGGAGAAUCUGAGCCUUAUUUAGCUGCCUAAUUGGGCACUUCUGGUGAUUGGUGGAGCAUGUGAAAAUUUGCUGUUUGCCCUGAAUGCUGAAACGAUGCCACUCAACCUCUCUCGUAUGCUCUAGGUUGCACUUGGUCUGAGAUCGUACAUCACAGAUGUGGUUCAUUGCUGCUUUAUUUUCAGAUUUGCUGUGUUUCCAUGGGCUUGACCUGUGAGUUUCUGAGUACUAUUGACUGCUGCUGAAAUCCUUUUGGUUGUGGAGGGUGCUCCACAGCUCACCAACCCAAGUCUCAUGGUAUUAUCCCAUCACAUGCUUGUUCCUCUGCUUCAGCCUCUUCUAGAAGCAUUGGAGUAUUUUUGGUUUGUUUUUUGUUUUCUUCCUGGAAUGAAUUAAAAAUGUUAUUUGACUCAAG
rnacentral:lncRNA from 1 species